rnacentral:piRNA from 1 species
UUAUACAAGUGUGUUCUGAACCCCAG